AACGAACGCUGGCGGCAUGCCUAACACAUGCAAGUCGAACGAAGCCUUCGGGCUUAGUGGCGCACGGGUGCGUAACGCGUGGGAAUCUGCCCCUUGCUUCGGAAUAACAGUUAGAAAUGACUGCUAAUACCGGAUGAAGUCUUCGGACCAAAGAUUUAUCGGCAAGGGAUGAGCCCGCGUAGGAUUAGGUAGUUGGUGGGGUAAAGGCCUACCAAGCCGACGAUCCUUAGCUGGUCUGAGAGGAUGAUCAGCCACACUGGGACUGAGACACGGCCCAGACUCCUACGGGAGGCAGCAGUGGGGAAUAUUGGACACUGGACGCAAGUCUGAUCCAGCAAUGCCGCGUGAGUGAUGAAGGCCUUAGUGUUGUAAAGCUCUUUUACCCGGGAUGAUAAUGACAGUACCUGGAGAAUAAGCUCCGGCUAACUACGUG
rnacentral:rRNA from 1 species